UACAGAGGUCCCGAGCGUUGUUCGGAUUCAUUGGGCGUAAAGGGUGCGUAGGCGGCGGGGCAAGUCUGAUGUGAAAUCCCGGGGCUCAACCCCGGAACUGCAUUGGAUACUGCCUUGCUCGAGUACUGGAGAGGGAACUGGAAUUUACGGUGUAGCAGUGAAAUGCGUAGAGAUCGUGAGGAAGGCCAGUGGCGAAGGCGAGUUCCUGGACAGUUACUGACGCUGAGGCACGAAGGCCAGGGGAGCAAACGGG
rnacentral:rRNA from 1 species